rnacentral:rRNA from 1 species
CCUACGGGAGGCAGCAGUGAGGAAUAUUGGUCAAUGGACGAGAGUCUGAACCAGCCAAGUAGCGUGAAGGAUGACUGCCCUAUGGGUUGUAAACUUCUUUUAUAUGGGAAUAAAAUGUUCCACGUGUGGGAUUUUGUAUGUACCAUAUGAAUAAGGAUCGGCUAACUCCGUGCCAGCAGCCGCGGUAAUACGGAGGAUCCGAGCGUUAUCCGGAUUUAUUGGGUUUAAAGGGAGCGUAGGUGGUUUGUUAAGUCAGUUGUGAAAGUUUGCGGCUCAACCGUAAAAUUGCAGUUGAUACUGGCAGUCUUGAGUACAGUAGAGGUGGGCGGAAUUCGUGGUGUAGCGGUGAAAUGCUUAGAUAUCACGAAGAACUCCGAUUGCGAAGGCAGUUCACUGGACUGCAACUGACACUGAGGCUCGAAAGUGUGGGUAUCAAACAGGAUUAGAUACCCUAGUAGUC